AGAAUUGGUCUCAUCAAGAUGAUGGAACGUCAAGAAGGAGACUUGUGAGCUGCCUAAGGAUGUCACACUGCACUUUCUAUGGUCCUAACAGCUGACUGAAGGUGGUUCAUUUCCAGCAGCUGAAAAGACUUGUGAGCUGCAAAAGAUGUCACCAUGCAGCCCUCUGUAUGGUCCAAACCAGCUGAUGUUCAUUUCAUGCAGACUUGGGAGCUGCCAAAGGAUGUCACACAGCUGACUGAAGAUGGUUCAUUUCCAGCAGAUUCACAUGGUGGCAUGAGAUUUCUCCUGAAAGAAAAUUACUCACAGGGCACUGCCACGCCGUUUUAAGAUGGGCCUUGUGUCGUUCUGGUCUGCUGCAGUCCCUGAAGUUUGGGGACUGAGAUAAAAGGUAGCCUUUCAGCUUGAAUACAAUGGCAGUCUAUCGUUAAGAUGAAACCCAAACUGAAAUAGCUGGAAUUACCGUCAGACUGUUAGUGGUGACUCUUAGUUUUCUGAACAUUAGAUAGCAGCAUCAUGCAGUACACUUGAAGGAAAUAAUUUGCUGACUGAUUUUAUUAUCUUGCAGAAUUGGAUCAAGUGGUUGCACGUCAGCUGUCCGUAUAUCUGCAAGCUACAUGUGGCUUAUCUGGCUGACUCUCCUUCAGAUGACUCAUGGACACUGGUUCUCAAGAUGGAUGUCAAGUACUUUUGAAAAGUACUUACCACUGUACAAUGCAGACUGGUUACUGGUCAUGUUAUGAUUGCAAUAAAGUCUCUAAGCAGCCCGACUGAAACAA